UACGGGGGGAGCAAGCGUUGUUCGGAUUUACUGGGCGUAAAGGGCGCGUAGGCGGCCACUGCAAGUCAGUUGUGAAAUCUCCGGGCUUAACCCGGAAAGGUCAACUGAUACUGCAGGGCUAGAGUGCAGAAGGGGCAACUGGAAUUCUCGGUGUAGCGGUGAAAUGCGUAGAUAUCAAGAGGAACACCUGAGGUGAAGACGGGUUGCUGGGCUGACACUGACGCUGAGGCGCGAAAGCCAGGGGAGCAAACGGG
rnacentral:rRNA from 1 species